AUGUAGGCUGUUGUAUCCUGGAGGGAACAAGUCAAAGAGUGUAACUGUCAGACCGGAGAAACAAUUGCCGCAGUGGGCUUGAAUCUCCUUAAGGAGAGUGAGAUAUCCGCGCCUGAUAUGGGUACGACCACGAGGAUGCACGUAUGUGAGAAUGCAUUGGACCCGUCCAAUAAAGCGUCCAAGUGAAGUGUGGAGAAGACCUUGGAUCACACCAAAACCGACCCUAAACUUGCACUCCAAGGGCGCCCUUGGUCACAUUUCAUUAAAGGGACCUUUUGGUCAUUUUACCUAUUAUUUGUAAUACACUAUAAAUAGAAUGAUGUAGGGUUUUAGUCAUUAGUUUUGAUGAAUAUUGAAAGUUUUAGACACUUAGGCAUUUCUCUCUUGUGAGAAAGGCCCCUAUGGCCAAACAUUGUAACUAAGGAUUUCAACUUGAGUGUGGAAUUACUCGUGUUGGAUUCAAGCUUAGAAACGUUGAAUGCUUGGAAGAUCGAGGUCCCUAUGAUGCCACAUAAGAGAUAGGUGAAUUGUAGUGUGUAGUGUUAAGGAUCCAAGAGUGGAAUACGCUCUUGGAUUCUUAAGAUUAUGCCUUCAUGUAGUCUAUCUUUCUAUCCCUUUGUUUAGUGUAAUCUUUUGUUGUUGUUUCUUGUGUCAUUGAAAUCGUUGGUUAUUAUUAUUGUAAUCCUCUUGUUCUUCAUGUGUUGAUGCUGUUUUGGGUGUUAUAUACAUGAUUAAAUCUUGUAUUUUUCUUGUUGGUAGCGAAUCCGAGAGUGGUCUCCAAAAAGGUCCUCGGAUCCUUAAGAUUAGUGGAAUGAUUUGGAGUGUGUUUCUUGUUCUCCUUUUUUGUCUUGUAUCAUUUGGUAUCAAAGCCAUCUUUGAUUUUGUUCUAACAAGAUCAAUCUUGGGUUUGAAAUUUGAAAAUUAAAAAAAAAAAAAGUUGAAAACUGAAAAUUCCAGAAAAGAGAGCAAUCUGUCCAUUUUGUGUUCUUGGCCAAAAAUUGUGUUUUUUUUAUGUCUUGACCGAGAUUUUUACUUGGCUUUGUUGUCUCUAAGUGUUAGUUUUUUUCAUCACUAACACAUUGAGUCUAUAUCUUGAGUUGAGCUUGAAUUGUUGAGAUUGUUGUUGUGACAAGUUAAUGGUCGUGUAUUGAUGUUGGUGUUCUUGGCCGUGUAGUGACCUUUCUUGUGGAAUUGGGCUGGACGUUGUUGGUGUUGUUAUUGUUCUUAAAAAUUUGUUGUAUUCUUGUUGUUCAUCACAAUCUUCACCCUUGUUAAGACCAAAACACCACACUAAAGGACUUGGUCGUUUGUUGGAAGUUUGUAGUUGACCUUGUUGUUGUUCUUGGGAGAUUGUUGUUGAUUUUCUUAGUGAUUGUUGAAGUAUUCUUGAUGUUCUUCCAAACCUUCAUAGCUUGUUAAAAUAAAGUGAAAUUAGAUAAAAAAACGUGAAGGAAAAAGUAUGAGAACUUUGUUAGUCUUGAAAGACUUACCAUUACUCACCAACAAUUCAAUCACAUCUCAACCACUUUCCCAUAAAACAAGGAUCCAUGUUUUAAGGAGGAGUACAAGUCUAGUCCAAGACUUUGAGUCUUGAAAUUUUAAUUGAAAAAUAAUCUCCAAAGACUAGUUUGUGUUUCCCUCUAUUGAACAAGUUCCACCAAAGCCCAAAUUAAAAAAUUGACCAAGACUUGAAAUUGGACAACAAAAGUUGUGUGCAACCGAGACCAAUACAUGGCUUCCACAUCAUCAUAUUUUACUGUUCACAUAACAUAUUUAAGCUCAAAUUUUAAAUUUCUUAGUUUUUGUUUGUUGUUUCUUAGUUUCAAUUUCGUUGGUUCCAAAACUAAUUGGCAAACUGGUACUUAUCUACUAGAUUGUUAGUUAGUUUUUGUGUUCGUUCAUUCGUGUUACGCGUUUGUUGUGUGCUUUUCUCUUUUGUGAAUUCAUUGUUUCUUGUUGGUUCAAGUCCGUAAUAAAUUUUGCUUGAGUCAACUCAAACGAAAAUCUAUUCCGGGCAAGAGUAGACUCGACCCUCAAUCACUCGCGAAAUAUAAGCCGACUUUCAACACUUGUGAAACCAAGUGUGAGACAAUCAAGUGUGCAAGAGUGUGGUGAGGUUGUUUCGAACUAACUUGUGUUUUGUUUUGUAGGUGUGUUUUUUUUUUUUUUUUUUUUUUGGGUACAAUUACAAGGGAACCCGCGCUUCCACCUCUCAACCUAUGGACUAUAAUGCCACCAAUGUCAUCUUGGCCUACCUUGACACUAUGUCCCGAGACCUAGCUAUGGCAAAUGAAAGGUUGGAUCGUAUGGUAGGUCAAAGGGAUCAAGUGGUCUGCACGGACAUAUGUCAAGAGGAAGGUCGUAGCUCAUGUGAGCUACGAGGUAAAAACACUAUUCACUACAAAAAGUGUUGUGGCUAGUAGUGGCCAAUUGGAUGUAGUUGCGGAUUUACCUAGAGUAGAGGUGUUUGAGUCUCCCUAUGGUGAUACUCUUGGUGAUGUUAGGUUACGUGAGGACCAAACUCUUGUUGUAAGUACAUAAGAACUAGUUGAUUUAUGUCCAUCUAGUGCUAGCCCUUAUAAUUUGAACAAGGUUCUAUUACCAAUUGACAAAAGUACUCACAUACUAGUUGAGCCUUGUGCGAACCAAGGUGAGUCUACGUUGGUAUGUGAGUUGCCAACAACUAGUGAGGAUGUGAAUGAAGAUUAACUUACUCAUGAAUGUAUUCCACUACUUGAGCAUAUGUGUAGAGUGCUUAAAACAUCUCAAGUUAGUGAUGGUGUUUAUAGAGUUGAUCUUGAUGGUGCACGUGACUCUUUGAACAUCUUGUGUGGUAAAAGACUUUCUAGUAGUUUUGUUCAUAGAGAUCAUGUGUAUGAAAAUGUUGUAAAUAAUGGCAUAUGUCUUUUUGAGGUAGGACUUCUAGGCCGUGUCUCUCUAUUCUUGAAUGUUAGUAUUCUCAAAAUGGUAAAUGCCAUGCAUGGUUGUGUGAGUGACAAACUAGGUGAAGGAAGCGCUAACCUCAGCUUAGACGCUUGGCUACUUCUCCCAUUUGACCCCGGCACCCUCCUGAAAAGUGGAAAUUUCCACCCUUCCCACUUGAUGCUUGGUCAAGAUGACAAGCAAUGUUUGAUUGGGGGUACUAAUAAAGAAAGUCAAGGUUCUUCCUUGUCUCUUUUUGUUGAUGAUGACCUCUUCCUUUGUGCCAUUUAUACUAAGGUUUUCAUGUUCAACACAAAGGACCCAUGGGUAUACUCCAAGUUUGUCUCUCCUUGGCAUGGCAUGUGAUGUGUGUAUUUUGCUAAUCCUAACCCACAUGUCAUGAGGAUGUUUUGCUUGUUUCUCCUUCUUUGAUUUUGCAAGGAGCGGAUUCGAGGUCAAAUCUUUUUUCAAAAUGGGGAGGAUGAUACGGGUACAUCACGAGGAUACACGUAUGUGAGAAUGCGUUGGACUGUCCAAUAAAAUGUUCAAGUGAAGUAUGGAGAAGGCCUUGGAUCACACCAAAACUGACCCUAAACUUGCACUCCAAGGGCGCGCUUGGUCACAUUUCAUUAAAGGGACCUUUUGGUCAUUUUACC
rnacentral:lncRNA from 1 species